UACGUAGGGUGCAAGCGUUAAUCGGAAUUACUGGGCGUAAAGCGUGCGCAGGCGGUUCUAUAAGACAGAUGUGAAAUCCUCGGGCUCAACCUGGGAACUGCAUUUGUGACUGUAGAGCUGGAGUACGGCAGAGGGGGGUGGAAUUCCGCGUGUAGCAGUGAAAUGCGUAGAUAUGCGGAGGAACACCGAUGGCGAAGGCAAUCCCCUGGGCCUGUACUGACGCUCAUGCACGAAAGCGUGGGGAGCAAACAGG
rnacentral:rRNA from 1 species